AGCAGGAGGGAAGUGCAGCUUGGACUGAGUGGCUGUAAUCUGAGGUGAGGGGUUAAAAAUAGUUCUCUCUCUCUUACUAUGAAGGACCUUCUACAGGUUGGAGCUUGUUAGGAACUGUCUGCAGGUAAGCACAGCUCAUCUGAUUAAAAUGAUAAUGACUAUGCUGUAAUUAGGGGACAGUGUUCCAUGACAGAUACAUAUUAUUUUAUUGAGAUAUGAUCUUGAGCUCCAACUAUGUAAUGUACAUCAAUAUUUGUUCUCUGUUCUCACAGGUUAAUGUUCUGCUGUGUGGUGUGUAAGGCAUAAGGAUCAGGAUGAAUAUCUCUUAUGUCCUACUGUCCUGUUUCCUGAUUCCAUUACCCAAGCAGAAUUUAAAAGUUUAUUAAUUAGUGAUGCCCACUUAGUGAAUUCCAUUAACCCAACUUUUUCUUGAAAUGUUUCUUUACAACUUUGAAUUCAUUGUGGCUUAAUAUUAAUUGAUCUGCUGUCUUCAAUUCUUUCAGGAAGGGUAUUUAUUCCUGGUAUGUUUUGUGGUAGGUAGAAUAAUGGCUUCCCCAAAAAGUUUAUGCAUAACCUCCAAAGACUUUAGAUAUUUUUCCCUUAUGUGGAAAAGGGAAGUAUCCUGAAAUGGGAGUUGGGACAAUGGUCUGGAUAACAGUGGCUUCAUAGUCAUAUAGGUAGCAUGUUGGAGGCAUAAUUCAGAUGAUAGAGUGCUUUUUAGUAUGAAAAGAAAAGUCCAAAGUUUGAUCCCAGCCGGGAAUAAACUGGGCAUGUUGGUGCAUGCCUACAAUCCCAGAACUUUGGAGGUAAAGGCUGAAGGACCAGAAGUACAAGGUCAUCCUAGGUCACAUAGGGAGCUUGAAGCCAUCCCGGUAUACACAACAUCCUGUCUAAGCAACAACAGAAAAGGAAAACUCUCAACCCUAAACCAAUCAACAAGCAG
rnacentral:lncRNA from 1 species